GAACUGGGUUGCCUGAUGAGGGGGUGUGGCUGGCCAGCAGCGUGGAGCAGAGGCAAGGAGAGUGGAAAAUUACUGACAGAGGGGAGGAGGAGCUUGCACCACUUUUCCCAAUCGGGGAUGGUUGGGGUCCAGUCGCUCCUCAGAAUGCUCUCCCCUCUGUGCUCAGUAACAGUUAUUAUUUCCAGACUGCAGCCUAAGACAGAAAGUAAAGUUUUUGACACAAUGCUUUCCAAUUUAGAAAAGUGAGUGCUGUAACAAAAUGACUUUACCACAGUUCCAAUGGGCAGAGCUGAAAUGUGCCAAACUCCUUUCCUGUAGAAAGCUGGGGAACAAAAUGUGAUAAUUGACUUGUUUAUCGUGGUGUACCUCAAGGUUCUAUCCUCAGUACAAUACUUUUUUCUUUGUGUUUGCCAUCCUUUGGUAAACAUGUCUAUACAUUUUCCACUUCAACACAGAGAUGGGACUCAGCUCUAUAAAACAAACUAGCUUUAAGAAGGCACUUGUGACAUGCAAAGGUUACUAAAUGGUUAUAUGGCUGCCAACCCAGGCAACUAUAGUCAUAUAAACCAAUGACAAUUGACUGAUUUGAAUCUCUCUUUGUGAUAUCUAAAGGGUUGUGUUCAUGUAGUUAGAGUUAGGCAUGUCUUCCGGUUGUCAGAUGUUAUAUGAUAAAGAACUGUUUUUUUGCAUAUAUGGAAAACCACACCUAUUUUUAAAAUGUUUUUUUUUAUUUAUUAAUGUAUUUAUUUUUCUUUCCAUUUCCUUCUUCUUCUUCUGCUGUCUUCUCUUUUGUUUUGUCCUGCCUGAAAUACUUCUGUUGUUUUACUCUGUAUAUUUUAUUUUCUACGUGUGUUAGGCUUGGAUUGCCGUGUUAAGUUGUUUUUGCUGUUUGUUAAUGUCUUUUUUUUUUUUGGUUGAUACAUGUUGUGAUGUGUGAAUUAAUGUAUGAAAAAAGGGAAAAAUUCCAAUAAAAAGAUUUCAAAAUAAAUGGAAAACCACACCACCAAAUUUCAGCACCUUAGAAACAUAGACCGUUUAAUCCAAAUUAAAUUCUGUUUUUAAAAAAUGACCAAAUUGUAUAGAAGAACAACAUAAAAUGCUCAACGAC